rnacentral:miRNA from 9 species
AGCUGUGUCUCAUAUUGCUAUC